rnacentral:lncRNA from 1 species
CUUAUCCGUAAUCGUCGUCAUGAUUGGUUGAUAAUGUAAUCAUUAGCCCUGAUGAUGGGCUUGUGGAGCGGAGCAAUAAUAAAUAGACGUGAUGUGUUGCACAAACCAAAACUUGCAGUAUUUUUUUAGGAUAGCCAAGAUGUUGUCUCGAGGACAAGAGCUACACACACUUGAGGAUAUAUUUCGGCAAAAAGAAAGAGAUCUGGAAAAUGGUAUUUUAAAUUUCACUUCGCGAGAUAAAGGUUUGUAUUAUUUUAUUAAACUGAAAGGCAGGUGACUGAACUCCUUGCUUAACAACGUGUAGCAAGCCAGAGCUUAGUUGAA